GACGAACGCUGGCGGCGUGCUUAACACAUGCAAGUCGAGCGGAAAGGCCCUGCUUUUGUGGGGUGCUCGAGUGGCGAACGGGUGAGCAACACGUGAGUAACCUGCCCUUGACUUUGGGAUAACUUCAGGAAACUGGGGCUAAUACCGGAUAGGAGCUCCUGCUGCAUGGUGGGGGUUGGAAAGUUUCGGCGGUUGGGGAUGGACUCGCGGCUUAUCAGCUUGUUGGUGGGGUAGUGGCUUACCAAGGCUUUGACGGGUAGCCGGCCUGAGAGGGUGACCGGCCACAUUGGGACUGAGAUACGGCCCAGACUCCUACGGGAGGCAGCAGUGGGGAAUAUUGCACAAUGGGCGGAAGCCUGAUGCAGCAACGCCGCGUGCGGGAUGACGGCCUUCGGGUUGUAAACCGCUUUCGCCUGUGACGAAGCGUGAGUGACGGUAAUGGGUAAAGAAGCACCGGCUAACUACGUG
rnacentral:rRNA from 1 species